rnacentral:rRNA from 1 species
GAACGCGAAGAACCUUACCUGGUCUUGACAUCCACGGAAGUUUUCAGAGAUGAGAAUGUGCCUUCGGGAACCGUGAGACAGGUGCUGCAUGGCUGUCGUCAGCUCGUGUUGUGAAAUGUUGGGUUAAGUCCCGCAACGAGCGCAACCCUUAUCCUUUGUUGCCAGCGGUCCGGCCGGGAACUCAAAGGAGACUGCCAGUGAUAAACUGGAGGAAGGUGGGGAUGACGUCAAGUCAUCAUGGCCCUUACGACCAGGGCUACACACGUGCUACAAUGGCGCAUACAAAGAGAAGCGACCUCGCGAGAGCAAGCGGACCUCAUAAAGUGCGUCGUAGUCCGGAUUGGAGUCUGCAACUCGACUCCAUGAAGUCGGAAUCGCUAGUAAUCGUGGAUCAGAAUGCCACGGUGAAUACGUUCCCGGGUCUUGUACACACC